GGUUAAACGAGGGGGAAGAGUGAAUAUUAUUGGUUAAAUAGUUAAUUUUUAAAAAUUUAUAAAAUAAUAAUUUUUAGGUGAAAUUUAUAAUUAUUAAUUAAAAAUUUAUAUUGAAACUAUGAAAUUUAUUUUAAAAACAAGGAUUAGAUACCCUUUUAUUAUAAAUGUGAAUAUAAACCUGGGUAGUACUAGUUAUGAUCUUGAAACCCAAAGGAUUUGGCGGUAUUUUAUUCUAAUCAGAGGAACCUGUCCCGUUAUCGAUAAUCCACGAUGGAAUUUACAGAGUUAAUAUUCUUUUUAUUAAAAAUAUGAAAUGUCAGGUCAAGGUGCAAUUCAUAAUCAAGAGGAGAUGGGUUACAAUAAAUUUAUUUAUAUGGAUUAAGUUAUUUAAAAAUUUAUGAAAGUGGAUUUGACAGUAAUUUUAUUUACUAGAUAUUAUGAUUUUGGCUCUAAAAUAUGCACACAUCGCCCGUCGCUCUCUCUAUAAAGAGAGAUAAGUCGUAACAUAGUAAGUGUAUCGGAAGAUGUACUUAGAAAGUA
rnacentral:rRNA from 1 species